rnacentral:rRNA from 1 species
CCUACGGGAGGCUGCAGUGAGGAAUAUUGGUCAAUGGGCGAGAGCCUGAACCAGCCAAGUCGCGUGAAGGAUGACGGCCCUACGGGUUGUAAACUUCUUUUGUCAGGGAGCAAUUGAGUCCACGUGUGGGCUUAGCGAGAGUACCUGCAGAAAAAGCAUCGGCUAACUCCGUGCCAGCAGCCGCGGUAAUACGGAGGAUGCGAGCGUUAUCCGGUUUUAUUGGGUUAAAAGGGUGCGUAGGCGGAAUAUCAAGUCAGCGGUAAAAAUUCGGGGCUCAACCCCGUCGUGCCGUUGAAACUGAUGUUCUGGAGUGGGCGAGAAGUAUGCGGAAUGCGUGGUGUAGCGGUGAAAUGCAUAGAUAUCACGCAGAACUCCGAUUGCGAAGGCAGCAUACCGGCGCCCAACUGACGCUGAAGCACGAAAGCGUGGGUAUCGAACAGGAUUAGAUACCCGAGUAGUC